rnacentral:misc_RNA from 1 species
UUAACUAUUAUAUAGUACUCAGACAUCACUAAAAUUCAGAGUUUGGUCCUCUGGCAGGCACAUGCAGGCUGAGCCCACAGUGGGAGGCCACGGCCUGCCAAAGCAACAAGAGUAUAUAGACACGGAUGGGGUAUACCCGAAGGUAUCCUUUUAUUAAUGAUCCUUCCGCAGGUUCACCUACGGAAA